UUCUUAAAUAAUCAGCCAAUUGUCCUCCAAUAGGUACAACGAUUGUCAUAACCAUGUGUGGGACUGCUGACAAGAGACCCACCUGGAAGGGAAAGAAACAGUAAAAUGGGUAAUGUACCAAUGUUGUAACAAGGUUUGAGGGACUCAGACAUCUCAUACAUGCACGUGAACACCCAAUUAUCACAUUUAUGAACUACAAAAGGAUCUUUACAAUAUUUCCAAAUGGCAGUAUGUUCAGCUAGGGCCAUUACCAGAGAAUGGAAACAGCAGGAAAAGGAAGAAAAUAUAGAAAAAAACUGAGUAAAGGGGAUUUUCUUCAGAAGGUGAAUUUUCUAAAGGACUGCGCUGUCUCUAGCAAUAUCAAAAACUGUAAGGAAAGUAUCUCCUACCUCCACUAAACCUUGCAGAAUUCUGACACACAUGACGCAUCCGUAAUGCACUCUGGCUGCAGAGGGAAUAAACAUGUUCAGAGUCGAUGUUAAGAAGAUGGCAGCUCCAAAGACCCUGGGGGACCAAAGCAUUGUGUUAUUCGGCAGGUCUGCUGAUGGAUGUGCUACUUCAGCUAAGCACCAGAAACAAACCUAACAGUUCAUGAAAGAUCCCUGUGGAAAUCCCUGUGGAAAGAUCGUACCUGUAAUCCCAGCACUUUGGGAGGCUGAGGUGGGUGGAUCACCUGAGGUCAGGAGUUUGAGACCAGCCUGGCCAACAUGGUGAACCCCAUCUCUACUAAAAAUACAAAAAAUUAGCCAGGCAUGGCGGCUGGCACCUGUAAUUUGGAGAAAUAGAUGUGUUAGGGUCUAGUGCACCCCAAGCUAGACUCUUGGGCUUCUUUGAUUCCCAAGCUCUGGCCCCUGGACCAACUAUGAACAAAUUUUUGGUGGCACAGGGAUGUCCUGCCUGGAUGAUGUCCUGAAAAGUUGGAGAUUGGCCAGGUUCAGGUAAGCUUGCUAGAGACCUACCAUCCUGCCUGGUUCCCCACCGACUGAUCUUUUCUGACUGUUACUGUAUGUUUGAGGUUGUUUCCUGCUUCCCAGAGUCAGAAACACUGACUAUCCAAGAAGCAUUGUAUGUCCUGGGACCAGCCAAGCACAAGACAGGUUGUGUACCUGUCUUAGCUCCCAUUUCCUGGCCAGCUCAGGGUGCCCUGGGAAAAGAGAGCAAGCAGCAUUUUCUUCCCCUCUCACUUAUGUUGAUGAUGUUUCCACUCUUUUUAUGUGCUGGGAAAUUAGAUUAUGUGUGAUUUUUUUUCAAGGCUGAGGUGUAAGCGGUAACCCAGGAAACCAUAGCAACCAAUAUUUUAUCACUUUUUAAAAAGAAUACAAUAGAUAACUAACAAUAAAUAAAAGACAUAAAUUAGACAAGAACCUAAAUAAAUAUAUGCUUAUUCCUAUUUAGAUCUUAUGGUAGUGGCUUCCAAUUUUUUUACCUUAACCCAUAAACAAAAUAUAUUUUAUAUUGCAACCCAGUCCAUACUCAUACAUACAAAUGUAACUGAAACAAGUCUCAAAAACCAAUAUUUACCCUUAUGUGCAAUGCAUUCAGAUAUUUUCUAUUUUAUUCUAUUUGAUUAUCUUUUCUUCUAUUUCUCUCUUUUUUAAAAAUGCUCAUUGGUAAAUCAUUAUAUUGUUUUCACAACUAUCUAAUGAGUUGUGCUUUAGAAUUUGAAAAAAAAAA
rnacentral:lncRNA from 1 species